rnacentral:tRNA from 1 species
GUUUUAAUAAUUUAAAAAAAAUAAUGAUUUUGUAAAUCAUAAAUAAGAUAUUCUUUUAAAGCU